GAGUGGGAAAGAUUGUGGAAUGAGAUGGACAUCUUUACCCUAGGUACAUGUAUGAUUUUACUCAACAUCAUGUGCAACUAGAGAAAUGAAAAGUUGUGUUCCAUCUGUGUACAGUGAAUCGGAAUUUGUUCUACUGUCAUAUAUAACUAAUUAGAACAAAUAAAAAAAUUUAAGCCAGGCAUGGUGGUGCACACCUGUAAUCUCAGCAGCUCGGCAGGCUGAGACAGGAGGAUUGUGAGUUCAAAGCCAGCCUCAACAAAAGCAAGGUGCUAAACAACUCAGUGAGACCCUGUUGCUAAAUAAAAUACAAAAUAGGGCUGGGGUGUGGCUCAGUGGUUGAGUGCCUCUGAGUUCAAUCCCCAGUACCGCCCCCCCACCCCAAGCCAAUUUUUUUUUAAACUUAAAAAAAAAAGAAAGGAGAUGCCUAGGGGUACAGAGCACAGGUAGCAUCAGCACAAAGACCCUGGGAUGGGAGUAAGUUUUGUGCCUAAGAAUCCUCAAGAAAAGUGUGUGUCAGAGGGACAUAGGAAGAAGAGAUGAGCUCACAGAGGAAGCAGGAGUUGGAUCAGAAGUGACUGAUAGAUUAAGGAAAGAAGUUUGGGCCAGCAGGCAUGGUGGCAAACACCUGGAAUUCGAGUGACUCAGCAGGCUGAGGCAGGAGGACUGCAAGUUUGAGGCCAGCCUCAGCAAUUUACCAAGACCCUGUCUCAAAAAUGAAAACUAAAAAGAGCUGGGGAUGUACCUUAGUGGUAAAGUGCCACUGGGUUCAUUCUCUUCUACCACAUACACUAACCUCACUCAUAUGCACACAUAUACACACGUGUACCUGCACCCAUGUACACAAAGUUUGGAUUUCAUUCUAAGUGCAACAAGAAGCUGUUGGAGUGCUUUAACGCAGAGGAGUGAUAUGAUCUGAUGUAUAUUUUUAAAAACAACAGAUGGAAAAUGGGGAAAGAAUGAAAGCAGAAUGUCAGGAAGUUCUUGCAGCAAUGAGAGAUAGUGGUGAACUAAAUUGGAGUUUGGGAGGAAAGGGGCUUGCUAUUGGGUAUGAAAUGAAUGUUUUAGAGUCACCUCUUUUAUAGUACAAGCAAAUACAGGGCAAUAUCUUUUCUUUUACAAAGGAAAAGUGUACAUAUAUGGAUCUACGUAUAUAGUUACAUAUAUAUGUACAUAUAUUAUACACAUAUAUUAUAGUUAAAAAAUAUACAUACACACACACACACACAAGUAGUAUAUAAAUACACAUAUGGAAGAAAUGAAGAAAAAAACAAGUGAGCUAAUUUUUAAUAUAAGUAAAUAACUGGAAUAUUUUAUUAAUGAACACUAUUUUCUAUAAGAGAUAUGUUUAAUAACUUUUUUUUUUAAUCUUUGUUGUAUGUGGUGCUGAGGAUCGAACCCAGGCUGCACGCAUGGCAGGCGAGCGCGCUACCACUUGAGCCACAUCCCCAGCCCAAUAACUAUGUUUUUAAAAGAAAAAAAUUGUGUUUUACAGACUGUGGAAUCAACCCAAGCCUUGGUGUUAGAGGUUACAUUUCCCCAGAUUCUAGGAUUUGUGGUGUGUGU
rnacentral:lncRNA from 1 species